UCUUCAGAAACAACAGUAUUCAAAUUCCAAUGCAGCCUGAUCAAACAACAUAAGAAAUGUCUUCUCGUUGGUUUAUUAUGUGUUUCUCUUUUAUAUAAAGCAAGUGCUAACACAAGAGUUUGUUGUAUGUCCUUAACUCAAUCCAUUUUCUUUCCAUGAUCAAACACAAGUAAAGAAGCCCAGGCACAGUAAGUAAACCAUUAUGUUGUUUUUCCAGAGGAACAUGAACGGAGCAAGGCACACACAUGCACUCAUUUCGCAGCUACAAGAGGAGUGUCAUUGAUUUCAAUGAGAUAAAUCACACACAGAAAGCAUUUUAAACAUCAAAAACUCUUUCCACCACCCUCAAAACAGAAUCUGGAGUAGUCUUAUGACAGACCUAUAUUUCUUUGUCAUAAUUAGAAACACAACAAACCAUCUGAUGUAUCAGUGACCUAUUUGAAGAAAGGGUUCCGAAAAUAAAGCAAAAAUAUUGUCACUGACACUUUAAGUACUUUAUGUACAUCUAUUUCUAAAUAAAUUCCAUUAAUCCAUGGGAGCAUAUGUAUGAGACUGAAGCCUAAGGAGUACUCCUAGAUCCAUCAGUACUGGGAGUUGGGCUGAAUCCUGGCAUCAGUGGUUAAGAGCAGUGGACUCGUAAUCUGGUGAACCAGGUUCGCUUCCCUGCUCUUCCACAUGCAGCUGCUGCGUGACCUUGGGCUAGUCACACUUCUUUGAAGUCUCUCAGCCCCACUCACCUCACAGAGUGUUUGUUGUGGGGGAGGAAGGGAAAGGAGAAUGUUAGCCGCUUUGAGACUCCUUAGGGUAGUGAUAAAGCAGGAUAUCAAAUUCAAACUCUUCUUCUUCUCUUUUUCAGCACUAGGACCAUAACACCAAAUCCUUAGCUUCAUUGAUCCAACACAAGAAGGCUUAGUAUUUGAUUAUUAAUAUGGAACAGUACCCUUCUGGCCAUGUUUUGUUUUAAAUUGUUGGAACUUCAAGAUUUCUUUUAAUGUAAGCAAGCAGUACAGAACAAUUAUUUAAUAAAUGAAUAAAGCCUGAAUUCUUUUCUUUCAUUCCUCUGAGUCCUUUUCAAGUGUUCAAUAUCUUUUGAAAAAUGAAAUGGCCAUGCAUAGGAUAAAGUAUUAUCAUAAUCUGCUCGCCAAUUAGAUGCAAAGAUUCAUGGACCAAUGAAACAAAGCACCAGCGCAAAACCAACAAACAGCUGUCAUGUCAAGCUGUGAUUUAGCAUCACCCAGACAACUCUGAUCUGUGCUCCCGUCCCCCCUCUCCAUUGCCACAACAUGCAACAACCUCUUGAGAGCCAGCGUGGUGUAGUGGUUAAGAGCAGUAGACUUGUAAUCUGGGGAACUGGGUUCACGUCUUCUCCUCCACAUGCAGCUGCUGGGUGACCUUGGGCUAGUCACACUUCUUUGAAGUCUCUCAGCCCCACUCACCUCACAGAGUGUUUGUUGUGGGGGAGGAAGGGAAAGGAGAAUGUUAGCCACUUUGAGACUCCUUAAAGGGAGUGAAAGGCAGGAUAUCAAAUCCAAACUCCUCUUCUUCUUCGUCUUCUUCUUCUUCUUCUUCUUCUUCUUCGUUAGAUGAAUUUGAAAAGUAGGAUAGGUCUAUCUACGGCAAAUAUCAAUGGAAGUUAAGGGUAGAACCUCUAAUUUUUACCUCUGCAUCCCAACCACCGCCAGCAGUUAGGAGCACUAGUUAGACCAACUUCAAAGCAGGUAAAACUUUUGUCACCAUCUUCCUGUUUUGCCUUGAAGGAUUAUUCUACAAGCUCGGUGCCACAACAGAAAAGGCUGCCAGGUGGACUGGCAGGUGAACUUCUACAAGUUUUGGCAUAAACAGAAGGGCCUCAUACUGGGAUCUCAAAAACUUGACAGGUCUAUUGGGGAGAGACAUUUCUUCUGGGAACUUGAUCCAAGUUUGUUAGGGCUUUGUAAAUCAGCAGCAGAACCUUAAAUGUGGGUUGAUAGCAACUGGCCGCUGUUACUGUUCUUCAAGCAAUGGUGUCACCUAUUCAGGGCAGACUAUUCCAGUUUGUAGUGGAACUACUGCACUUUGCACACACUGCAGCUUGUUGUUAAGGAAAAGUUAGCAGACAUAGAAUCAUAGAAUAGUAGAGUUCGAAGGGACUUUGAUGAUCAUCUAGUCCAAUGCAGGAAUAUGCAGCAAUGUGCAGCUGUCCCAUAUGGGGACCGAACUCACAACCUUGGUGUUAUCAGCACCGUGCUCUAACUAACUGAGCUAUCCAGGCUCUUCUGUGUACUUCUAUGGAUUGGGGUCAGAAUAUAAUGCAAGAUGUGGAGUAAUACAAAGAAAUAUAAAGGCAUAAGAGAAGAUGCUGUUCUUGAAAAGCUUCAGGGGCUGAAGUUGUGAAACCAAAGGGAGUCUGUUGACUGAGAUAGAUGUAGAGGGUAUAUAAUGACGUUCCAAUUUGUUUAGGAAAAGAAAGGACCUGAGUCUUUCCUUUUGUGCCAAGAGUACACGUAGCAAGGGGAGAAAAGCAUGAGAUUAUACAGCUUAAAAAAAUUGAAACUGGAGGAUUAUUAUGAAAAGAAACAUAAAAUGCAAUUUAUGGGAAGUUACGAGGCUCAUCUCAAGUCGUAUUCCUCUGUGAACCAGACCAUGACAACUUGUCCAUUAGCCAGCAUAAAUAGGAAAAUUGUAAUAAUUGUGUUUCCUUUUGCUCCUGCUGCAUUGGAAAGCUUUACUUGUUUUGAAUGCUCCAGACUUUGCGAAUGUUCUAAAAGCGCACAUAAAAUGAACCCUUCACUGGCAGGGUUUGUGCAUCACUGAACAUUCAGCCCUGAGACCUAGACAUAUCCGCAAAUGAACUAGGGCGUUUUAGCUUAUGGGAAGGUGUAAAACCUGUAAGCUGCUAUAAAAGCUAUGUCCCAUGAAACUGUGCUAUGGCUGUAUGAGAAACAACCAGGCAAACGGUGUUCCAUAUUCAGUCUGUUUAUUUUAAUCGGUUUCAAGCAGAAAACUGUAUAGAAUCAGAGAGACAUUCAGGUUUCAUUUUGUUUUAUUUUUACUGCAGAAAAUUUGAACAACCUGUGAGUGGUUCAGGAAAAUGAUUGUUGCAAGCAUUUCAUAUUUAUUAUUAAUACAGACCAGGGCAAGUUCUGUCAUGGGCCUCGGUAGUGGGAGAGAGAGGUGGAACUAGCCAAAGAGAAAACAUCGCUUUCAAUAGUUCAUUGAUGAAAAUAAGAGACAUUUUGUACGGUUAGGAGCACCCUUAUUCUCACAGUAAGGAUCACUGUCUAAGGACCCCUUUCAAGGAUUUUUCUGCAUGCUGAACACUGUAUUAAUUUACUCUGCAACAGUCAAGCCUAGCAUUGGUUAUCAUACAUCAGAGAUGUGGAAACCUGUCUAGAUGUUGUUGGACUUCAGCUCCCAUCAACAAUAGCCAGAACAGUCAAUAAUAUCAAAUGAUGAAAGCUGUAGUCCAACAACAUCGGAAACAGCCACAGAUUUCCUCAUCCCUGCCAUACCGACUAAUUCAAGAGCAGCCUCACUGGCUUCAGCAUGUGAAAUGGCAAGCAUGCACUACUUGAAGCCUUACCGUCCAUAACUUUGUAUUUACAUGCAUGCAUUGCAGGGGGUUGGACUAGAUGAUCCUAAGGCUUCCUUCCAACUCGACAAUUCUGUUUCUAUGAUUCUAUGUGCGCGAGGACAAAAGGCCUCCAGCCCUACUCAGAGCAGUUAAUGGAGAGGGUUGAAAUCCUAAGCAGGACACUAAUAAUAAUAACAAUAAUAAUAGGCAUCACACAAAUCUCCUCCAGAGCAACAUGGUGAAAAAUGAGGGACAGUGUUUGAUCAAUGUCAGUGUUCUCUGAUGGAGUCAGCUGAUAACUCAUUUCUGGAUGUAAUUUUCACUAAUAUGCAUUUGUAUGCACACUUGGAUCCCGAACACCUUGCAACUCGAACGUUUUGGCUCCUGAACGCUGCAAACCUGAAAGUGAGUGUUCCAGUUUGCGAAUGUUCUUUGGAAGCCGAAUGUCCAGCAUGGCUUCCGAUGAGUGCAGGAAGCUCCUGCAGCCAAUCAGAAGCCACGCCUUGGUUGUCAAACAUUUUCAGAAGUCAAACAGACUUCUGGAACAGACUCCAUUCGAUAACCAAGGUACGACUGUAUAUACAUUUUUGAACACAUUAAUUGGCUGGAGAAUUGCAUUGGAAAAUUAAGAGAAGUGUGAAUUUCUAAAAGUGCAAAUUUGAUAGGCUCUUCUUGAAUUUGCACUUUUUGCACCAAUGUGCAAAUCAAAACACAAUCAUUCUUCAAAACUUGCACUUCUCCAGAUUUUGCAAUGCAGUUUACAUAAAUAAAUAUGGCCUAUGAAGAUGCAUAUACUAGGGUCAUAUGUGCAUAAACAUGCAUAUAUGAACUUCACAUAUAAAAAAAUGCAUUCUAUUGAGGAAAGCUUGCAAAAAUGUCUAUCGUAGGCAAAUGUGCAUACCAAAAUGUGUAUAUUGGAAGAAAUUCACACUAAAAUGCUGGUGAGUUUUCAGCAGGACUUUUAAAAAAAAACAAAAAACCCAUAAACAUGCGUGCCACAUGUCUGUUUACAUGCCAGCACAGAUUGCUGGAGAAAGCGGAACUUCCACUCUGUAUUGCUUUUCUUUUCUUUUUCUCCGAGAAGAUGGCAAGGAGAGAUGCCAUGUUUUCUUUGUCCUGAUUUAUGUAUAACAUAUGCCUAGUUUAGUAUGUGUCUACAGCCUCAAGCCUCUUCUGUUGCACAGUUUACACUGCUGAGUAAAGUGUGCUCAAGUCUGCAAGCUUGAGUCACUGAUGCACGCCAGAUGAAUCUCCGCAGUGGCAAGGCUGAGCGGAGACGCUCUAGCUGGGGCCGAGCCAGCUGGCCUUUCAACCCCCGGUUCUGACAAAACUGAUAUGGAAAUGUGGAGAACUGGGGGCCACUAGGGGGCGCAUUGGAAGAUGGCCGACAAUGCCAUCUCUCCGACCUACACGGGGUAAUUAAGAGGCUGUUAUGGGAGUAGGCAGCCUCCCUUGUUGCCCCAAGGAAAUGGGGAACACUGCCCUUGCCUGCUGUGCCCAUAAAACACCCCUAAUUCGAAAGAAGGGGUGAGGGCCCUAGGCAGAAUGCCCCCGUGUGGACAUCGGCUCUCCUGGACGCUGUCUCUGAUCGCGCACUAGUUGCAGCAAUUUGGAAUAAUUAAUUACAAAAGAAGCAAAUGCACAUAUUUCAAGUGAAGAAGGGGAGUGAAGUCUGCUAAUUUAAGUGACCUCUGCGAAAGAAGACGACGGGCUGGAGAAACAGGAAUAUUUUACGAUGAAGAUACACCAAAGGCGGGGUAUGUUGACAACGGGGCUGAAUGGGGGAAACCUUUUUGACUUUCCUUCUAUGUGAUUUACAAGAACCCCUCCUCAUUAGAACUGUCGGUUGAACUGACCCAAGCAGGAUGAUUAAGGUCUGUGUGGAGAUAAACUUUAACCAAAAGUAUGCUUUAUGGAGACCGAGAAGCAAUAAGAGCUUUUGGGAAUGGCGCAGCAAUUAAUUCGGAGUCGCCAUCUUGCCAAAGGAUUUAUAGCCGGGAGGAAGAACGGAUUUGUUUUCAGACUGCAUUCCUAGUGAAUCUCCUCAGAGGUUUUGAGAAAGGAGGCAGAUUGGUGAAGAUUAAUGACGCUAAGACUGUUUUGAUGUAUGGAAGUGAUGUUAUAUGGAAAACGUCUGGAUAUGGCUACUGGAUAAAAAAUAAUAUCCACGCAGGAUUACAAACUGUUCUAACGAGCUUGUGGAGACUAUCAGAGGUCAC